AAACCAACCGGGAUUGCCUUAGUAACGGCGAGUGAAGCGGCAAAAAGCUCAAAUUUGAAAUCUGGUACCUUCGGUGCCCGAGUUGUAAUUUGGAGAGGGCAACUUUGGGGCCGUUCCUUGUCUAUGUUCCUUGGAACAGGACGUCAUAGAGGGUGAGAAUCCCGUGUGGCGAGGAGUGCGGUUCUUUGUAAAGUGCCUUCGAAGAGUCGAGUUGUUUGGGAAUGCAGCUCUAAGUGGGUGGUAAAUUCCAUCUAAAGCUAAAUAUUGGCGAGAGACCGAUAGCGAACAAGUACAGUGACGGAAAGAUGAAAAGAACUUUGAAAAGAGAGUGAAAAAGUACGUGAAAUUGUUGAAAGGGAAGGGCAUUUGAUCAGACAUGGUGUUUUGUGCCCUCUGCUCCUUGUGGGUAGGGGAAUCUCGCAUUUCACUGGGCCAGCAUCAGUUUUGGUGGCAGGAUAAAUCCAUAGGAAUGUAGCUUGCCUCGGUAAGUAUUAUAGCCUGUGGGAAUACUGCC
rnacentral:rRNA from 1 species